AAGUCGUAACAAGGUUUCCGUAGGUGAACCUGCGGAAGGAUCAUUGUCGUGACCCUGACCAAAACAGACCGUGAACGCGUCAUCUUGCCUGCCAGCGGUGGCCCUGCCGUCGCUUGGCCAAAGUCCUCGAUAACCUCCUCUUCUCGGAGCGGGGGCUCGGGGUAAAAGAACCCACGGCGCCGAAGGCGUCAAGGAACACUGUGCCUAACCCGGGGAAGCGGCUUGCUUGCUAGCUGCCCCUCGUGUUGCAAAGCUAUUUAAUCCACACGACUCUCGGCAACGGAUAUCUCGGCUCUCGCAUCGAUGAAGAACGUAGCGAAAUGCGAUACCUGGUGUGAAUUGCAGAAUCCCGCGAACCAUCGAGUCUUUGAACGCAAGUUGCGCCCGAGGCCACUUGGCCGAGGGCACGCCUGCCUGGGCGUCACGCCAAACACGCUCCCACCUCUCAUCGGGUGGUGGGAUGCGGCAUGUGGCUCCCCGUCUCGCAAGGGGCGGUGGGCCGAAGAUGCGGCUGCCGGCGUAUCGUGCCGGACACAGCGCGUGGUGGGCGAACUCGUUUUACUUACCGCAGUGCAUCCGGCCCGUAGCCGACGUGAUGGCCUUAAGGACCCAAUGAAUGGAGCGCAUGACGCUCUGACCGCGACCCCAGGUCAGGCGGGACUACCCGCUGAAUUUAAGCAUAUAAAUAAG
rnacentral:rRNA from 1 species